ensembl:lncRNA
UUGAGAUUGUAGCAUAUCCUACUAACAUUUAAAUUUAGCCAAUUGAAGCUUAGCCUUGGCAACAUUACUAGUGGUUACAGUCGAAGAUUCAUCCUCUUACAACGGAGAGUUCGACCAGGCGUCUGACGCACAGUGACAGCAGAGGGGGGACCCUCAAGAGGAGAAGUGGGAGUCAGGUAUAAUAAGUGUAAUGGAUGAAGGGCAAUUCCAUGCUAACAGAAUGAUGCAGAGGCUCAAGUUUUCACAUUUAGAUGUAUGCCAAAGAAAAACCAUUGAUUGCAAAGUUAAACAAACCGUACAAAUCUAUACAAAAGGAGUACACUGAACAUAAAUAUAAACUCAACAUGUCAAGUGUUUGAUUCAUGAGCUGAAAUAAAAGAUCCCAGAAAUAUUCCAUGUGCACAAAAUGCUUAUUUCUCAGAAAUUGUGUGCACAAAUUUGAUUACAUCCCUGUUAGUGAGCAUUUCUCCUUUGCAAAGAUAAUCCAUCCACCAGACAGAUGUGGCAUAUCAAGAAGCUGAUUUAACAGCAUGCUCAUUACACAGGUGCACCUUGUGCUGGGAACAAUAGAAGGCCGCUCUAAAAUGUGCAGUUUUGUCACACAACACAAUGCCACAGAUGUCUCAAGUUUUGAGGGAGCGUGCAAUUGGCAUACUGAUUGAAGGAAUGCCCAUCAGUUGUUGAUCAACUUUGCUAGAUAAUUGAAUGUUCAUUUCUCAACCAUAAGCCCCCUCCAACGUUGUUUUAGACAUUUUGUCAGUACGUUCAACCAGCCUCACAACCGCAGACCACAUGUAUAGCGUUGUGUGGGUGAGUGGUUUUCUGAUGUCAAUGUUGAACAGAGUGCCCCAUGGUGAAGUUGUGGUUAUGGUAUGGGCAGGCAUAAGCUACCGACAACAAACACAAUUGUAUUUUAUCGAUUGUAAUACCGUGACGAGAUCCUGAGGUCCAUUGUCAUGCCAUUCAUCCCCCAUCAUCCCCUCAUGUUUCAGCAUGAUCAUGCACAGCCCCAUUUCACUGUAUACCUGUUGUAUUCGGAGCACGUGACAAAUCAACUUUGAUUUGAUGUCGCAAGGAUCUGUACAUGUCCCAGUUCUUCCAUGGCCUGCAUACUCAUAAGACAUGUCACCCAUUGAGCAUGUUUGGGAUGCUCUGGAUCGACGUGUACAACAGCGUGGACCAGUUCCCACAAAUAUCCGGCAACUUCGCACAGACCUUGAAGAGGAGUGGGAUAACAUUCCACAGGCCACAAUCAACAGCCUGAUGAACUCUAUGCGAAGGAGAUGUGUUGCGCUGCAUGAGGCAAAUAGUGGUCACACCAGAUACUGAGGGGUUUUCUGAUCCAUGCCCCUACCUUUUAAAGCUAUAUGUGACCAACUGAUGCAUAUCUGUAUUCUCAGUCAUGUGAAAUCCAUUACAUUAGGGUCUAAUUAAUUUAUUUUCAAUUGACUGAUUUGGCAUGGGUUCUCAGAUCCUCAAACAGUUCUACAGCUGCACCAUCAAGAGCAUCCUAACUGGUUGCAUCACUGCCUGGUAUGGCAACUGCUCGGCCCAGUACACCAAUGGGGCCAAGCUUCCUGCCAUCCAGGACCUCUAUACCAGGCAGUGUCAGAGGAAGGCCCUAAAAAUUGUCAAAGACUCCAGCCACCCUAGUCAUAGACUGUUCUCUCUGCUACUGCAUGGCAAGUGGUACCGGAGCCAAGUCUAGGUCCAAGAGGCUUCUUAACAUUUUCUUCCCCCAAGCCAUAAGACUAAUUUCAACUACUUCUCAACGUCCAUGGACCGGUGUCGGUCGGUGCUCAUUGGGUGAGUUCGCUGGUUACAGUAAAUUGAAAGAGAGGGGCCUCAUGGGUAGGUGUCAGUGAGAGGUGACAUUAACAGGAGAGUAGUGGUGCCUGGAGAAUUUAAUUAACAUUUUUUAAAUGUAACCUUUUAUUUCACUAGGUAAGUCAGUUAAGAACAAAUUCUUAUUUACAAUGAUGGCCUACCCCGGCCAAACCUGGACGAUGCUGGGCCAAUUGUGCGCCGUCCUAUGGGACUCCCAAUCACGGCCGGAUGUGAUACAGCCUGGAACCGAACCAGUGAAUGUAGUGACGUCUCUUGCGCCGAGAUACAGUGCCUUAGAACACUGGGUAGCUUUCAUUUGACACUAAAUUUGAUGUGCUCCUAUGAACUUCUCUGGAUAACUUCACUUCAUGGAUCCUUUUACAUGGAAAUGGCCUGAAGUUACUGGCAUAAUUAGGUUUGCGGCCCAAAUGCCACCCUAUUCCCCAUAGGGCUCUGGUCAAAAGUAGUGCACUAUAUAGGGAAUAGGGUGCCAUUUCGGACACUGGCCUACUAUGGUCUGUCAUUUAAACAUGAUUACUUCUGAUUCUAUCACUGUUAUUAAAUGUACGGAGUAUACUCAAACUUCUCAUAUAUUACUUGUUGAUGAGUCUUGUUUACCUUUUUCUUGGUCAUUUCAGCAGUCUGUGGAAGAUCAGGAACUGAUGGAACUCCCUGAGAUGAAUGACCUGCAGGCAAGCUACGACGAUGUGUUGCAGGAGCUGCGUGGGCUGGAGCUGCAGCGGGAGACUCUGUUGUUCCAGGUGGACGUUCUGCAGGACGCCCUGGAGGGGGCCGAGGAGAUGCUGGCUGAGGCCCAGAGAGAGGCCAGCCACGCCACCAUGGAGGUGGAGCGAGAGAGAGAGGCGAAGAGGAAGUUGGAGGACAUUGUCAGUUCUCUGAUGCAGGAGGUGGAGAGGCUAAAAGAGGAGAGGAACACCAUAUCAGCAGUCCCAGUGUACACACUUGUCAAGGAGCAGGAGAGGGAAGAUGAGAUGGCUAGACAACAAGCCACAGAGAUGCAAAUCAAAAAGGGAGCACAGGAACAAAUCAGGGAUGCACCAAGGUAUGAGGACAAUUCUCGCCAAGAUGCACCUCUCUCUAUUAUCCGAUUGGACAGUGAGGGCCCCGGGCCCAACAAUGGGCUAUCAUCUGAGACCAGCACUGGGGGGCUGCUCGCUUCCUUCUUCAAAAAGGGGAGGGGGGAGCAGCCUUCUGACAGUCUGACCCAGCCCUCUCCUAUCCACGUUGCCCAGCUGGUGUCCUCUGAGGACGUAGCAGAUGGGGCACAGGACAGCUUCACCAAGUUCACAAAGAUAGUCAACAAGACCUUUGGGCCGUUGUCACUCGGUAGCCAGACCCCCGGGAGAAAUCAGGAGGAGAACGGGCGUGACCUCUCCCCCGACAGGAACAAUGACACAGACAGCAUCAGCGCCUAUGAAGAUGCCUGCGCUGACAUGCCCGAGCUGGAAGAGGGUGACGGGCCAAGGCUGCCCCAUGAUGAAGGCUCCCCAGUAGAUGAUGAGGGAGAUCUGUCAAAUGGCAACGAACCCAAGAGCAUCAAAAACCCCAAUGAAUCUUGCAUUCUGUCGUAAGAGCUGCAGAACUGUUGUGCUACGAAGGAUCAAAUCUUCUCUGAGAUCACUGCUCUCGCUCCGUCCGCCUCUUGAUAAUGUAUGCCAUUUAGCAGACGCUUUUAUCCGAAGAGACUUACAUGCAUCCAUUUUUUUAUUAUGUCUUAUGUUCUUGGGCCUGUACUCUCCAGUUACACAUAUAGAAGGGUAGAGUCAAUCUUGGGAGUUGUUGCCAGGCAGUGUGGAAUUCCAGUCAUGUCUACAGACUACUCUAAAGCCAAUCUCUCUCCCUCCGCAUUGUUUGGCACGACCUGCAAGGUUGCACUUACACCCCCCCCCCCUGCUGUUCGGCACAAAAGGCAAAUGACCUCUCUGUUUCUUAGUGACUGAUAAUCACACAAGACUGUUUGCGUACACUGAACUAUCAGAUAUAUCAGACCUCUUGCAUUCUAAACGGGCAAACUAUGUGAUUCGUAGAUUAAGACGAUUAUAGUUGUUUUUAUGCUCUUAAGUUUAGACGCUGGCAAGAUUGUAAUCACAAUAGCAGGCAGCCAAGGAGCUAGCUACUAUAUAUUUGAAUAAUUCCAUUUAUGGGUAUAAAACCAUAAUGUUUUCACUGUCUCACUGGCCUUCACAGGGACAUUUCAUUUGAUCUUCAAGAAGGAUUUGGUGCCUUUCCUGGCUCACCUUAAUGCAUUUUAUGAAUAUGGAAUAUUAACUUGAAAGAUGUAAUACAUUUACUGAAUUUAAUCUAGCUUUAGUACGAUACUAGCAUGAUUGAAAAAGUAACGACAUUCCAUUUAAUAGUAAAACUUUAAGGAUACCUGAUAAUGUAUAUGUACAGUAACAGUACUGCAUGCUACUUGUCAGGUCAUGUUUGCACAGUCGCAGUGAAACUACUGAAUUGGUAGACCUUACAUGUUAUUUUGUAUCUGGCAUUGCUGGACAAUGUACCCUUUGUUUUUCUUCUCUCUACCCAUAACAUUAACAUAAAAUCUGAGGAUAAUCUUUUGACUUGGAAAGAGUUACAUAAACAUUGCUACCUAUUAAUCUUUUUAGGAGAUUUUUUCAUAGUCCCAAAAGGCACCUUAUUCCCUUUUUAGUGCAUUACUUUUGACCAGGGCAAUAUAAAGGGAAUAGGGUGUAAUUUGGGACGCAUACUUUAUCAACAUUCCUGUCCAUGUUUGACACUAGCGAGGUCAAAUGAAAUUGAUCUGUUUUCCAAUCCUUACCUUGUUGAACAUUUUCAACAGAUACUGCGUUUGUAAUGAACUUGGGGGCAAAUCUUACAAUGCCUUCAACACUAGGUUUUGUGUGUUAGACUUUGUGUAUCUCAAGUCAGAAUGCAGCUCUUGGUAGUAGGGGUUAAAUGGAUGUCAAGUUCGAAAGCACACUGAAACACACUGAAAUAAUUCCUAACUUUGAUACUUGUGAUGUGUUUUCUAUUCUGUUUCUAUUGCCUGAAUUUCUGUUUCUGCGGGAGAUAGUCUUCAGAAAGUAUUCACACACCUUGACCAUUUCCACAUUUGUUGUUACAAAGUGGAAUGGAUUUAAUUGUCAUUUAUAUUAACGGUCUAUACAAAAUACUCUGUCAAAGUGGCAAAAAAAAUCAAAUAACAUUGUAUUACUGGAAAAUAAAACACUAAAAUAUCUAAUUUGCAUAAGUAUUCAACCCCCUGAGUCAAUACAUGUUAGAAUGUUAGAAUCACCUUUUGGCAGCAAUUACACCUGUGAGUUUCUGGGUAAGCUUCUAAGAGAUUUGCACACCUGGAUUGUACAAUAUUUGCACAUUAUUCUUUUAAAAAAUUCUUCAAACUCUGUCAAGUUGGUUAUUGAUCAUUGCUGUACAGCCAUUUGAGUCUUGCCAUAGACUUUCAAGACGAUUUAAGUCAAAACUGUAACAAAGCCACUCAGGAACAUUCAAUGUUGUUUUGGUAAGCAACUCCCAUGUAUAUUUGGCCUUGUGUUUUAGGUAAUUGUCCUGCUGAAAGGUGAAUUUGCCUCCCAGUGUCUGUUGGAAAGCAGACUGAACCAAGUUUUCCUGGAGGAUUUUGCCUGUGCUUAGCUCUAUUCCUAGUUUAUUCUGUACAGGCUACCUUCUUUCCACUUUGUCAUUUAUGUUAGUAUUGUGGAGUAACUACAAUGUUGUUGAUCCAUCCUCAGUUAUCUCUAUUCACAGCCAUUAAACUCUGUCACUGUUUUAAAAUCACCAUUGGCCUCAUGGUGAAAUCCCUGAGCAGGUUCCUUACUUUCCUUAAAGAAGGGUGACUGUACUUGUAGUGACUGGGUGUAUUGAUACACCAUCCAAAGUGUAAUAACUGCACCAUGAUCAAAGGGAUAUUCAAUGUCUGCUUUUUUACCCAUCUACCAAUAGGUGCCCUUUGCGAACCAUUGGAAAACCUCCCUGGUCUUUGUGGCUGAAUCUGUGCUUCAAAUUAAUUGCUUGACUGAGCAACCUUACAAUUAUCUGUAUGUGUGGGGUACAGAAAUCAAAUCAAAAUGUAUUUGUCAUGUGCGCUGAAUACAACAGGUGUAGUAGACCUUACAGUGAAAUGCUUACUUACAGGCUCUAACCAAUAGUGCAAAAAAGGUAUUAGGUGAACAAUAGGUAGGUUAAGAAAUAAGAGAACAGUAAAAAGACAGACUAUAUACAGUAGUGAGGCUACAUACAGGCACCGGUUAGUCAGGCUAAUUGAUGUAGAAUGUACAUGUAGAUAUGGUUAAAGUAGCUCUCGGAGAUGGGGUAGUCAUUUUAAAAAUCAUGUUGAACACUAUUGCAAGUCCAUGCAACUUAUUAUCUGACUUGUUAAGCACAUUUUUACUCCUGACCCUAUUUAGGUUUGCAAUAACGAAAGGGUUGAAUACUUAUUGGCUCGACAUUUCAGCUUUUCAUUUUCAAAUAAUUUGUAUAAAUGUAUUGAAACAUAAUUCCAAAUUGACGUUAUGGGUAUUGUGUGUAGAUCUGUGACACAAUCUCAAUUUAAUCCAUUUUAAAUUCAGGCUGUAACACAACAAAAUGUGGAGAAAAUUUGAGGGGUAUGAAUACUUUCUGAAGGCACAAUAUGUACUUUACUCGGGAGGUUUCUAAAUGUGCAAUACUACCUGUUAUGUUGGUGAAUGGUUAUGUCUUAUCUAAUGCUCCUUGAUGUCACAAUUUAUCUUGAACAUUUAGGUAUUUUUUUCUGAAAGCAACUGUUUGAUAUAAAAGAUGUUUUUCAGCAGUCUUGGCACAAAGUGUGUGUUAUUUCAGCAUGCCUCUGCUAAUGUAAAUUUGCACUAGUUUUGUGAUUUGCACUUCCAAACAGGGUUUGCUGCAUCGUAUUAUGUUCUAAAAUGGCAACAAAAAAAUAUGGGAAAAACAUGUUACUGAGUGGUAAUGCUUAUGCUUUAUCAUAUUUUCACCAAAUAGUUAAAGUAUGUAUUUUUUGAAUGAAUUCUAUUCUUUUAAAGAAUAAAUAUUUUGUACAGUG